CGAACGUAAUGUGAAUUGCAGAAUUCAGUGAAUCAUCGAAUCUUUGAACGCAUCUUGCGCUCCUUGGUAUUCCGAGGAGCAUGCCUGUUUGAGUGUCGUGA
rnacentral:rRNA from 1 species